rnacentral:lncRNA from 1 species
AUGUUCGACAGUGGCAUUGAAGAAGGAAAAAUCAUUGAAAGUGAGGGCAUAAAUAUGCCUAAUGACCAAACAAUAAAGUGUCACCAACCAGAGGCCUAUAAAUACCUGGACAACAUCAAGCAUGAACAUGUGAAGACUGUGGUCAGUAAAGAAUACACACAAAGGGUCAGAAAAUUUUUCAAAAGCAAGCUCAAUGGAGGCAACACCAUCAAGGCCAUAAACACCUGGGCCAUACCUGUCAUAAGAUAUACUGCUGGCAUCAUAAACUGGACACUGGUGGAACUGGACAAUUUGGACAGAAAAACAAGAAAACUCAUGACCAUUCAUCAUUCACUGCACCCUCGCAGUGAUGUUGACAGGCUAUAUCUGCCUAGAAGAUCAGGGGGCAGAGGACUCUUACCAGUAAAACAAGCAGUCAAAGAAGAAGAGCAUGCCCUGGCAGAAUAUGUAAAGCAAAGUGAAGAACCUGCUUUGAUUGAAGUCAAAAAUCAAAAACUCCUCAAAACACAGCAGACAAAGAAUCCGUACAUGAAAACUGCACUACAAACAAGAGCUGACAGCUGGCACAACAAAACAUUGCAUGGAAAGUUCCUUGACAAAAUUGAAGGAAAAGCUGAUAAGGAGAAGACCUGGCUAUGGCUCAUGAAUGGGACACUGAAGAAGGAGACAGAAAGCCUGAUCCUUGCAGCCCAGGAACAAGCCAUCAGAACAAAUGCAAUUAGGGCCAAGAUCGAAAAAUCAGCUGAUGACCCAAAAUGCAGACUGUGCAAGGAAGCUGACGAAACCAUUGAUCAUAUCCUCAGCUGCUGUAAGAAAAUCGCACAGACAGACUACAAACAGAGGCACAACUAUGUAGCCCAAAUGACUCAUUGGAACUUAUGCCUUAAAUACCACUUCCCAGCAGUAAAGAACUGGUGGGAUCACAAACCUGCAAAAGUAUUGGAGAAUGAGCACGCAGACUGUGGGACUUCCGAAUCCAGACUGACAAAGUUCUGGAACACAACACACCAGACAUCACAGUUGUGGAAAGGAAAAAGGUUUGGAUCAUUGAUGUUGCCAUCCCAGGUGAUAGUCACAUUGAGGAAAAACAACAGGAAAAACUCAGGACCUCAAGAUUGA